UAUAUAUAUAUAUAUAUAUAUAAAUAUAUAUAUAUAUAUAUAUAAAUGAAAUACCGCCUCAUUUAGAGUCGGAAAGUAAUAGCCUUAAAUAGAUAUCCAACAUUAAACGGAAGAAAGAGAGCUAGACUUACAUGUUCAUCAAGAACUUGUGCUAUUUCGAGCAGCUGCAUCACAAAUAAAAAACAGUUUCUGGAUAUAGUUUCCAGAACCGCAAAUAAAUACGGUGGUUCCCAAAUUUCUUUUAUGAAAAGCUACAAGUUGGACGGGAAAAAAAUAUAAUCCAUUGAACUAUAUUUACAACGGCUCUACAGCUCAUCAUCACUCACAAAAAAGAUCUCCAUCAACCAAAGUCACCAACAAUAUUUCAGAAUUUUUUUUCAUUAAGUGUAAAUAUAAAAACUCAAACCAAAAAUAUAUAUCUUCAUAUAGGCCAGGCAGACCAUAUUCUAAGAUUUGACACAAAAAGUCUCGUGGAAAUGAGGCAUCAUUUUUGCAACCAAAGACAAUACCAUUCAACAUUGAAUUGUUUUUAACAAGUCUAAAUGUUGAGGCCUUGCAAGCCAUCAAACUGACCAUAUUAAACCUCCAACAAACACACUUUCUGCAGUAUUAGGCAGAAAAAUAUUCCCAUUCCCUUGCAAGCCAUCAAACUGACCAUAUUAAACCUCCAACAAACACACUUUCUGCAGUAUUAGGCGGAAAAAUAUUCCCAGUCCGACCAAACAAUAAAAUUCUCUUCCCAUAACAAUCCAAAACCGGGGUACUAAAUGAAGAUUAUAAUCUGACACAAUCCCUCAAAAAUGAUAGUGACUCUGUAAUCAAACUAGCGAGGCAAAAUCUCAUAAACAAGAAUUACUGAUUUAUUUAGAUGAAACUCGAUUCUUCCACAGAGCCAACAAAAAGCACAGUUGAUAUGAUCCGAGAUAGGCCGCAAAUUGUCAAGGACUUAACGAAUGUUAACAAGAGGGCAUGACCAAGAUUCGAGUUCAAUUUCGAGCCAACAAGGCCACACAAACACUUAUUCAAGCUAUGUAGUUCAAAAUGUUGAAGUUUGCAAGCCAAAGAUUAAGUUACAUGUUGAACGUGGAAGGUGGAAAGGAGUGGAACAGCCUAGGCCAUCAAGGGACGGAGGAACCUAAAGUGGCUACUAUGCGACCGCAUAGUGGCACAAGCCAUGCGGUCGCAUGGCUCCAACCUGAGAGCAAUUCAACAGCAAGAAGAUGUUCCAUGCGACCGCACAAAAUAACACCAUGCGGUCGCACAGUAUAAAUUCGGGGAAAAAAAAUUUCUUUUCGCACGAGUUUCCUAUCUUCAUUAUAACUCUAGUCUUUUAAUAUUUUUUACCAUAUUUUGAACUUAUUUGUUUUAAGGAUUUCAUAUAAAUAGGAAUUCUUAUUUCCAUUGUACACAACUUUGAUAAUUUUGAGAGAAUUAUACAAGGGACUGUUUUGCUUCCACUUUUCUUGUUCUUCAUUGAACAAAUCAAACUUAUCAAGAAAUUAGUUUCUUGUGGUGUUCACAAAUCGGGGUGAGGUUCAAUCAUUGUGUAAUCAAGAGGUUGAUAAAUUCCACUUUAUUAGUUGCUUGGUUCAUAGUUUUUGGAUUAAUUCCAAACCUUGAAUCUUUGGCAUUCUUGGGAUUGGGUUUCAAUCUAGUUGUGGAUUUCGUAGCCGUCGUUGCUACGUGGGUUCACAUCAGCUGAUAUCAGAGUUUAGGCUCAAAAAUCAAGAUUAUAUCUUUUCUUUUGAUUUUGUUGAGCCUUUUGAUCUUUUUUUCAUUGUUCUUCGCGUUCUUCAUAUUUUUCCAUUUUGUGUGAGUCUGUGAUCCAUAAAAAUCCUGUCAAAAUUCCAAAAGUUUUUUUUGGACUAAUUAAGUAUCCAAAUCAAUUUCCAUUUGUUUUGUUGGUGUUGUAGUCAAGUUUUCUAUCAAAAGAGUCAAAAAAAAGGUAAAAAAAAAAACCGAAAAAAAAAAAAAAAUUGUUGUUUGAUUUAUCAUGAAAAUCUUAAAGCAUUUGGUUGAAAGUAUUAAGCGGAAAAAGGCCGGGUGGUGAGAUCAAUAGAGGGUAAAUGCCAAGAAUUGAGUGAUACACGAGUGAAAUAUAAGUGAGGCAGAAAUAAUUAUAGAAUUUAGGAUGUCUGACAAGGAAUGAUCAAAUUCAAGCAGGAUCGACAAUCAAAUCAACAUGCCUGACGAUGCAGAGGUUUGAGAGAUUGUUAGCAAAAAUGGCUGAUAGAUUGGAUAGGCUUGAUACAUCGAUUACCAAUCUUAGCAGGGGGCAACGAGCUGAAUUACCUAAUGCAAGGAGACCGGGUAGAUCCUACCUAGAUUGGAGAUGCAGGAUAAGUAUGGAUACAGUAGUGAUCUGGAUGAGGAGGCAUUAAUGGAAAAUGAAAUGGGAAGAAUGAGGGAUAGAAGCGAUAGGUUUGAGAGACGGGAUAGGAAUAAUGUUAGUCAUGAAGUGGAUAGAGGCAUGGGCAACAUAAAAAUGUCCAUUCCACCAUUCAAGGGAAGAAGUGAUUUGCAUCUAAAGUGGAGAAAAAGGUAGAGCUGAUUUUAAUUUUUAAGUCAAUCUAUAAAUAAUCACAUUUUUAAGAGAAAAGCAUGUAAUUCAAAUACUUCCUCUCAAAUAGCUACUUUCCCUCUCAUUCCAAGUUUGAGCAUCAAAACUAGUGAAUUAAGGAGGAGAAAAUCUUAGUUAAAUGAGAGGAUUUGUUAAUUCGAUUUUUAUCAUCAACAAUGUGGAAUCUGGAUGAUGAAUGGGGACACUAAAAUAUUUAGUUGAAAGUAGAAAUAGAUUUGAAAUUGGAAAACAAAAAUAUAAUAUAGUAAUCCUGGAUUACAAUUACUUGUCUUUAAGAGAAAAAAAGCAUGUAAAAUCAUUCCAUUAUUCAGUUAUCCAAACUAGCGGGAAUUAACUGCAUCACUAUUCACUACACUUCCCUACUAACACUCUCAGAUGCAUAGACACUUCAAUUAGCCAAUGCAUCACUACCAAACCAGCAGAAAUUAACUGCGUCUACAUCCACAGAUAAACACGCAAUCAGUUUAUAGAUACUUCAAUUUCAAAAUAUUUGAGCCUGUAUUAUUCAAUGUGCAAAUAUGGGACCCAUAAGGUUAUAUAUGCUAUUCAAUACAAUUAAUAAAGAAAAUUUUCUACAAAUCUGUUCUUGUUUAGCACAACUUGCUCUGAUAAAGAAACUUCAACAAAGUGAGGCAAGACAAAAUAAGAUGUAAAUGUAAAUCACCAGACUUCUGGUUCUGAGAGUCUAGAGAUGCAGCAGCGUUAUCAAGAUUGCAUAGAACAAUUGACCGGGCAAAUCCACAGGUUCAUAUCCUCUCUGUCUCCAUACUGGCACAAUAAGUUUGGAGUAAGCAUGAUAAUUAUCAAGCCACUCACUUCUUUUGAUAUAAAUUGAAGGUGUCAACCCCUUGUGGUCAUGAAUCUCGUGUGAUCUUCUUAAUAAGCGAACAGAAAAAUAGAGCAGAAAACCUAAUAAUGUGAAUCAUCCUCUGUUAGACAUCACGUUGUCAAACGACCUCCCGAGCGAAGAUGAAAACCAGUUUUAUCAGUCGACAUGAAUGACUGAACGAUAAAUCAACACCGAAUAAUGGGAUAACCCGACCUAACGUUGUUUUACCUAUUGGAUGGCUAAUAACCUUUGUGGCUUGUUGGUGUGCUAUUGGGCCAUAACCCUAGUCGAGCCUACUUACCAUAUGUAUAACUUACCUUAAGUUUGUCAUUGGACUAUUAUAUAUAUUGGUAACUCUCUUUCUUCCUAUGAGUCCCGUUUUGAUAGAACCCGAGAGAGAGGCAGUCCCUUCUUCUUCUUCGUGCAUCCUAUUGAUUGAUCUUCUCUACUUCUUGCUUGAGUCUUUGUGACCCUUACCUGUGUGGCAUUCAUCCUAAGUGAGUGAGGAAACAACAAGCAAAAGGAGCAAUAGCAACCAUAGGAAAAAAGCACGCCGGCAGUCGGUCCCUUUCGGUUUCUUUGUGUUGAUUCGAUGUUUAAAGGUUAAAUGAGCCCGGAAAUCACCUUGAGCAGCUAGAGGAAGAUCCUAACAUCUGGUAUCAGAGCUUGGUUGGCAAAAAAAAGGGCUCAAAAUCGGUUGAUUUUCGCGUAUUCAACAUAGUACCCGAAUCUGAAAUUCUUCAAUUACUCACAAACCAAAACUCGGUUGGACAAACGGAGGCCAUACCCAUUACCAGCAGGUCGAGGCGCCCCUGGUGAUGCGGCGCGUGGGCGGUGUGGGCGGCACGGCGGCGGCGCAUGGGCGGCAGUCCGGCGAAGCUAUCUUCAGGUAACUUGCUUCUUUCGAUCUCCUGAACGCGCUGAUAUACUUUCUUUUGUGUUUCAGGUUACACAGAAAAAGUUGGACGAUUUUGCCCCUGGUGCGACGCCGCUGAAAUUGAACAGCAAGCUCGUUUUUCUCCACUCUAUGAA
rnacentral:lncRNA from 1 species